rnacentral:rRNA from 1 species
CGCUGGCGGCAUGCCUAACACAUGCAAGUCGAACGAGACCUUCGGGUCUAGGUGGCGCACGGGUGCGUAACGCGUGGGAACCUGCCUUUAGGUUCGGAAUAACUCAGAGAAAUUUGAGCUAAUACCGGAUAAUGUCUUCGGACCAAAGAUUUAUCGCCUUUAGAUGGGCCCGCGUUGGAUUAGCUAGUUGGUGGGGUAAAGGCCUACCAAGGCGACGAUCCAUAGCUGGUCUGAGAGGAUGAUCAGCCACACUGGGACUGAGACACGGCCCAGACUCCUACGGGAGGCAGCAGUGGGGAAUAUUGGACAAUGGGCGAAAGCCUGAUCCAGCAAUGCCGCGUGAGUGAUGAAGGCCUUAGGGUUGUAAAGCUCUUUUACCCGAGAUGAUAAUGACAGUAUCGGGAGAAUAAGCUCCGGCUAACUCCGUG